ensembl:snRNA U6 U6 spliceosomal RNA
GUGUUCGCUUCGGCAACACAUAUACUAAAACUGGAACAAUACAGAGAAGAUUAGCAUGGCCCCUGCACAAGGAUGACAUGCAAAUUCAUGAAAUGUUCCAUAUUUUU